UAAGCUAUAAUUUAUAAUAAAAUAUAUGAUUUGCACUCAUAAUAUGUUCUUCUAAGAGCUAGCUUAA
rnacentral:tRNA from 1 species